rnacentral:lncRNA from 1 species
UAUGGGACUGCGCACAGGCUAAUAUUUUAGGAGAUUUUUCAAUUUUAAAAAUAUUCUUAACAAAAUUAUCGUGUUACCAUAACAACUACUUUAAAUACGCCAUGUUUGGUAAAUAUAAUGUUUUUGUCAGCAAGGCGAGGGUUUCUACUAACAGUUUUACCGGCAGUCAUCACUCGCUGGAAGAAUGUAUGUCAAAUUAUCAAUUAUCACAAAUUUCUAUUAUGAUUUUAUUAAUGGCCAGAGCGAGGUAAUUUCAAUGAAAUUCCUUGGCUUUAAUAAAGAUAUUUAAAUAUUGAGAUGCAAUUAAGCUCACAUUUCAACUUACAAAACCUAUAUUUUUAAAAAUAUGUUAGAGGGUUAAGAGUUAACAAGUUCGGUAUCUUAUGAAUUGUUUUGGAAAAAGCUUUCUUCCUCGACCUUUGUUUUUAGAAAUUAGUUGUUUAGUUAGUAAAUAAUUUAGCAUUAUAUGUUGGAGAUAAGUUGUGUAGCAGUAUUCAAACAAAUUUAUAAAUUUGUACUUUUGUAACAUUAGCACGCCUCUUUGGAAAAUCAACUGCAUGUUGAAAAGAUUAGUGAGUUUAACAAAAGUUGAUCAUCAUAAAAAAGGAUCGUGUCACGCUUUUGUUACUGUUUUUAUCUUUAUCGUAUCUAUCUAUCUAUCUACCCCAAAUCAACAAAUAACAAUAAAAGCAUCUUGUUUGGUGCAUUUCCAAUGAUUAAUCAGAUAAAAGAAGCAAGGAUUUUAGUCAAAGACUGGUUUAAAUUAAUAAACGAUGCUUUGCAAAACCGCACUUUCUCCACAUGUCAGAUACACGAAAACGAAACUCUAUAUGGCAUGUGAUGUGCUUUCCAGGAGGGAGUAUUCUUUAAAGGCACGCAUAUGUUCUGUCUAUUUGUCAAUAAAGAUUUAAUAUUGAUCUAUAUAGCAUCAGCAAUUGACCACAAUGAAGCCACUGCCGGAGUGCUCUUAGACUUAUCUAAAGCAUUUGAUACUUUUUAAAGUAUCAAAUUAUCAAGAUUUAAAAAUCAUGAAAUUUUAUUUUUUAUAACCUUGAACACUAUGGCAUUUGUGGACUGGCACUAAAAUGGAUAAAAAGUUACUUUCUUCACUGCAAACAAUGAUAGUUUCCAUUUUUUUAAUUUUUUUUUUUUUUUUUUUUAAAUUUUAUUGUUAAAUAUCCAUCUUUGGCAUAUAGAAAUACAAUGGAUUUACAAGUUAAAAAUAUAUACUAAAAUACAUGUGUAACCUAUGAGAAUGUAAAAAUUAGAAAGUUUAAGAAGUUUUUAUAUACAUAUGUACAAUGAUCUAAUUUCAUGAGUUGGUUAAUCUACACGCCUUGGGAUAAAAGACGUACUAUGCCUGUGUGUUUUUGAGAGCUGUCUUGGAGUGCUGUCUCUGGUCCUUCUCAGUUCGUAAGUGUGAUUCUUAUUACCAGAUAGGAAACGAUUACAUGGGUUUUUUGGGACUUCCACGAUCCUUUUCAGCUCGUUGCAUGUUGCCUUGUCCCUUCUUUCUUUUAGUGUAGGGAGGGUAUCUUUCUCAAGUCCUAGGAUUCUCAAGCUUCUUUGUUGAAC